GUAUAACUAGCCGUGAUGCUUUCUUACUGCUUGCAGAAACGCUGAUUGUAACCGUGUCUGACUCUUGCAGGUGGUUUUGCUGGGUGGGGAUUUAUGUCAGACAAACUUGCAGAACUGAGCCCUCAGUUUGCAAACGUAAGUGAUGACUUUGGGUCAGCGAUGACUGAGGAUUUCACCUGGAGGGCGGCGACCUUCAGUUCAUUGAAAGAAAUUCCAAAGGUGAGCUUCGUGACACUCUGAAGAGAUGCUGGAGGGAAAUAUUGGAGCUUUCCACCAAGGUUGUGAGCCAAGCCAGGUUCCAUCUGUGGGCUCUGCCUCUACUUGGUCACAUCUAUGAGCCACUACUAAGGAUGCAUGAUGGAGUCAUGUCAAGGUGUUAUGGCCAAAGGAUGCAUGACUUCUUCCCUCAGACAUGUGAGUAAAUCACUAGAAGGGCUGCAUGCAAAGUCUGCUGAGGCUUUCACUAGUGGAUCUCUUACCAACAAGGAGGUGAAAUUCCUAACUACAGACUUGUAUUCUUCUGCUACCUGUGCAAACUCCUGCGCUUUGUUACUAAAGCUGUCCAUUCUUCCGUCAGCUUCUCUUCACCUGUUUCUUGUCCUCAAGUUUCCUUUUCCCAGCAUCUAGAUGUGCUCAUUCUCAGCACUGUUUUUCAUCUGGCAAGCCAUCAGUCCUUCCUAGCCUCUCCCAUUGACUUCCCUCUUCAGAAUUGCUCUCUAUUGCACAAAAUCUACCUUAUCAAAGUCACCAGAAUCACAAGUGAAAUGAUAGUUUUUUUAGUUUUUUUGUGUGUAUUAUGG
rnacentral:lncRNA from 1 species